AGCCAAGAGAAAUGGCCAAAGUACCAGAGAAAGCUGUGCAUGUAAACAAAACUAAAUCUCACAAGAAAGAAAAGCCAUUAGAAACAGCCAGGCUACUGAUGAAGGAUAUCCAUGUAAAA